AGAACGAACGCUGGCGGCGCGCUUAACACAUGCAAGUACGAACGAGAAGCUGUAGCAAUACAGUUGUAAAGUAGGCAAACGGGUGAGUAAUGCGUGGGUAAUCUACCCUCGGGUGGGGAAUAACUCUUCGAAAGGAGAGCUAAUGCCGACAUGUGCAUCACUUUCGCAAGGAAGUGCUGGAAAGCCGUAUCGUGGAUACGGCGCCCAAGGAUGAGCUCACGUCCUACAGCUUGUUGGCGGGGUAACGGCCCACCAAGGCUCCGACGGGUAGCUGGUCUGAGAGGACGACCAGCCACACUGGCACU
rnacentral:rRNA from 1 species